AUGCCUGUGGAUUUGAGGAUUUGUCAGUACCCCAGGACAGGGAGCUGCAUUUUAAUCAUAUUAAGGAAAAGAUAUGCUAAAUUCCCCUCAGCCUGUGCUGUAUGAACCUCUAAGGCCGGCGGGGGUUGCAGCUAUGUCUAGACUGGAGCCGUGUUUGAUCCCCGCUCCCCACUGCGUCCUCAGCUGCUGUAAGCAGCAGGAAAAUCAUGGUUUGUUCAAAGUCGCUUUUUUCCCCACCCACCAAACUACUUGUGAUUUUAACAUGUGCUCCCCACCCCAACUCCCAGCUCUAGUUCUUAAGAAAGGUAAGAGAAAUGCGGGUCUAUGGAGUGGUUUUACUGCCAUGCCAUUGGCACACCCGCAGCCUGGGGGUCAACCACAGGGAAGCCCACAGAAGUUGUUGGGUUUGUGACACUGAGUGGAAGCAGCAACUACAAGUAAAAAAAUCUUGUAUUGGAUUAAUAAUUUCCAUCCAACCAUCUGCCUCUUCCACCAGCUCUUUUAUGUACAGCAGAUUCUGAAACGCAUACUGGGUGUGCAUUUACUUUCCAUGAGAACCCCGAGUUGUUGGCUGGCUGCACAUGUGUUCUCGGGGAUGCACGCAACAGAUCACUUCUGGUCAUGGCAGCAAACCCAGAGGAGAAUUUGUUCCUCUAUGAGACACGUACGAGCUGACCCUCGUGUAUGGAGGAGAAAAAUGAGGUCUGCAACCGCUCAUGUUUGCAGUCUGUACUGUAAUUCUGAAGGCACACCGUGUGUGCCACUGCUGGCAAUCAGACCCUUUUUAAUAGGACAGAUCCCCAAUUUCAAGGCACCAGCUCACUUGCUCUGCUCUCACUCGCUCUGCCCUCACUCUCUGUUCAGUGAGUUGCAAGCACAUGAUGAGCAGCCACUUAGGAAGUAAACCAGGAGUCCCCUUUCCCUGCUCUGCUUAAAGAAGGGGUAGGGAGCCCUUGUGAUGUGUCAUUAAAGCUGGCUUUUCUCCUUGUGGCAGAGCAGAUUUGAUCAGACCCGCCUCCUAGUUCCAGCUGCUGGGUUUGAACGCUCUGAUCUGUGCACUGGGUGCACGUUAAUUAUGGAGGCAAUUCCCAUGGAUACCAAGAAGAAUUGUCUGUACUGGCAAAAAUGAUCCCAGCUGGGAAAAUAGGGAAGGGAAAAAAUGUGUUGAAAUAUUCAGGAAAGAGACUUCAGAAGUUUCUGGGAAUGUAAGUGGAAAACAUUUCUGGUGUUCUUGUACACCAGUGUGCAAAUCUGUCUUGGUUUAAAACAAAGAUACAGGUUGUUUUCAUUCCAGGUUGCAGGAGCUAAUCCAGGGUUGCUGCUGUAUCAGCACAGCAAAACUGAAUUUGCCCCCUUCUUGUUAUCUGCAUCCAAUUGGGAUUUUCACCCUUGCUUUUGUACCCCUCAAGCCUCCCCCUGCUCACCUGCCCGGCACCACAAGUGUGUGUUGAGAAACCAGCCACCGAUUUGUGUUUCCAUAAAGGCAACUCCCUGGGUGAGGCAGGCAGCUCCGGGCGAAGGGCUGGUAAUUCUGGUUCCAUCCGCAGUGCUGGGGCUGCUGUGCAGGACUUGGCAGGAGCACAGACACUUCUCAAGAUGUUGCUAGCUCAUAUAAACAUAGAGAAUAAGAAAAGCUACAGUACUAUUAGGUUGGAUUUCCAUCUCUUUCUCAUCCAGGGCACCUGCUCCCCAUUCCCUCCCCUCCCCAGUCUUCCCAGCUGUCUGUCUGUCUCAUUUAUGUCAAUUAGAGAUUCAAUGCUGCCUGAUUUAAUUGGCCUGACUUUCCUCUCUAAUAGAAGCCCAAGCGAAGGCAGGGCAGGCGGGCAGGCAGCUCUCCAUGGGCUGCCUGCCCAGGGAAGGAGUCUCUCCCUUGCUGUUGGGAGGGCUGGGGCUUGUUUGCAAAGUAGAGCACAAUAACCUGUUUGUUACCAUCCAUGAUGGGGAGGUUGGUGACCUCCUAACAGGGAUGGGCUGCAGGCAAGAUGUGAUCUGAAAGCUUGGGGGUAUUUCCCAGUGGUUCAGGAAUCUGUGCAACCAGGCGCCCACCUCAGGCUGGCUUUUAGUGUGCUGCAGUGGUCAAGAUUUGCCACGUUUCCUCCUUCCACGAGGUCAGUAUGCAACACAACUUCCACCAACCGCAGCCACAGAGGGCUCGUCCUUCCUCUUGAGCCUGAGCCACCCCCAGCGCCGCUUAACCACGAGCAAAGCUGACCAAGGCCUUGGUUUCACAGGCUUUACACAAGGGUCUGACCCUGUCCCCCCCUUUGGGCAGCAAAGCUAGAAGCAAAGCAGAUGAAAUCUCUGCCAUGCAUCCGCUCCCCCUCCAAGAGCUGGAUCCUGGGAAGCAGAUCUGACCUACUUCUUCUCCCUGGCUCCUCACUUGCAGCUGACAAAUGACACAGCCCUUCAGCAGCUCGCAGCAGAAAAGCGAGUUUCCCCAAAAGCUGGCCCACAGAGGCGUCAACGUUAAACAGCAACAGUACCAUCUAGUGACUUGGGCUUACAGAGAGCAUCACUUGGAAGGGGAAGAGGAAACCUGUGAAUUAGGGAGGCCAAGCAAGGUCCCAGAUUUGCAAAUGAGAUCCUAUCUCUCGGUUCAUUUGGAUUUAGGAAACAAAUGAUGCUGAUGCUGCAACAGUCCUUCUUUUCCGGGGUUCACAGUCCCAUUUUUAGGCUCCUGCCUCCCCGCUGAACCCAGCCCUGACCCACGCUCCCUCUGCUGGUAACGUACUAAUUGAUUUAAUGUGUUCACAGCUUCUCACACACCCACUUGCACGCACAGCAGCAGCUCCGUGCGAAUGCCUGAGAUGAGAUUCAGGGCUGUGGGGAGUUCUCCCUUCCUACCAGUGAUCAGAUGCAGGAAAUAAAUCAGAUACAAUUCAAUUUACUAAAUCAAAAUUAUGCCCAAAACUGAACAUAAAGGGCCCGUUCCACACAGCUCUGACAUUACACACUCUCCUUCACAGCUGAAGGGAGGAAAUCGAAUUAGAGCAUUUCUUUUUCCAUCAAAGGACAUUAGUCCUCAUAUAGGCUCGUUACGCCUCACCAUCAUUUAUCGUGUGCAGGAGUUAUCCCUGUAAGAAUUCCACUUGACUGGAGCUACAACAUGUUCUGCAUGUAAGAAAAAAGAAACCCAAAUAUAAGUUUUCUACUAAGCCAUUUUCUUCCUCUGCAUUUUGAUGAUUUUGUGAAGGUGGCAACCAUUCACAGCUGUUUUUUGCAACAUACGUGUGCACCUUGCCACUUUCCCUGUUAUCACAUGCACAAAGUGCUUGAGGAGAGGUGAUACAAACCCCAAGGCUGCAGAACUUCAAUACUAAAAGCCUUUAUCAAGCCUAUUAAAUGCCACUGGUACCAGCAGGAGAAACUGCUUGGCUGGCUCCUCAAAUGUGUCCCCUCUUUGCUGUCAAGAGUGCAGCACUGCCCGAAGUCCACUUAGCCUUGCUCAUGGACUGGUGAGUGCCUGACAAUUUUCUGGUCUCAAAUGAAACAGAAAACUAAAUUAGCAAAUUAAUUGUUUGCCAUGUUUUUCCUUGGGCCUCAUCAGCUGCCUCAGGACCUGCAGCCAAUCCAGAGCCCCUCUCUGCAGUCCGGAGUAGAAGGUGGAGCCCUGCGCUGGGUCCUGCUAUCUACCAAGUGUCAGUCAUGUUAAUUUUAAAUUACUUUUGUACAGCUUGGUGUCAAAACGAUUAAAGCAUGAAAAGGAAAACUGAACUGGAGGGAGGAAAAGGGGGGAGAGAGAGAAUGAAUAAUUUACCUUGCAUUUACGAGCAAGGACACUUGGAUUUCUUUAACUCCUCAACUCUGAGAAGCCUGAAACUUGUAUUUCAUAGAAUCAUAGAGUUGGUUGGAAGGGACCUUAAAGUUCAUCCAGUCCCAACCCCUGCCACAGACAGGGGCACCUUCCACUAGAGCAGGUUGCUCCAAGUCCUGUCCAACCUGGCCUUGAACACUGCCAGGGAUGGGGCAGCCACAGCUUCUCGGGGCACCCUGUGCCAGUGCCUCAGCACCCUCACAGGGAAGAACUUGUGCCCAAGAGCUCAUCUCAGUCUCCCCUCUGGCAGGUUAAAGCCAUUCCCCUUGUCCUGUCCCUACAGGCUGUUGUCCAAAGCCCCUCUCCAGGUUUCUUGUAGCCCCUUUAGGCACUGGGAGCUGCUCUAAGGUCUCCCCAGAGCCUUCUCUUCUUCAGGCUGAACAAGAUCUUCUGUAACCUGCUUGGGACUGUGCCUGAGGAGUUGCUCUGGAUCCUCGUAGUCUAUAGGGAGACAAUAACCACUCGCAGCACGAAGCCAGGAUUUUAUCUGUUUUGUCCCAGGUAAGGCUUCUCUCACCACUGUGUUCACUGCUUGUUGCAAUCAGCGACACAAAGCUCCCCAUCCUCAUGCAGACCUCUUCUCCCCUCCCCAGCACUCCGCUCCCAAUCGGGUUUACUCCAUCACCCGCACGUACUGUGCCACAUAACAGAAAUGCAUCAUCACAUACAGCCUGAAAUGUGCAAGACUGAGAGUUGUCGGGUUGCAGCGUAAGAUCCCUGUAGCUCCCUGCAUCUUGUUCACACAACCAACCCACAUGCAUUGGGGAAAUUUGGGGGUUGGGACACAGACUGCUUUUAUCUCUCUUCGUAACUUCAACCACAGCUUCAUUCUCUUUCCCGCUGCUGAAUGGUAUCAUCAGUGGUCUUUGAAAUCUCAUUCUAAAUCUCUUGAGGUCAGAAGAACAGCAAAAAGAUUUGUAAGAGGGCAACUCGACAGCACCAGAGAAUGCAAAACAAGUUUAGCCACUUCUGUUGAUGUUUAUUGUGUCUUCAGCUCAUACACAAGAGCUCCUCCUUUCAUUAAUAAAAAGGGUAUAAAUA